rnacentral:tRNA from 1 species
GCUUUUAGUAGCUCAAAAUUAGAGCAUAGCAUUGAAGCUGCUAAGGUGGGAUAUCUCCCCUAGGGU